rnacentral:tRNA from 1 species
GGCCGGUUAGCUCAGUUGGCUGAGCCUGGUGCUGAUAACACCAAGGUCGUGGGUUCGAUUCCCAUUUGGUCCC